UACAGAGACUGCAAGCGUUAUUCGGAUUCACUGGGCGUAAAGGGCGCGUAGGUGGCCCGGUCAGUUCGUGGUGAAAGCGCGGGGCUCAACCCUGCGUCGGCCAUGAAUACUGCCGCGGCUGGAGCACUGUAGAGGCAGGCGGAAUUCCGGGUGUAGCGGUGGAAUGCGUAGAGAUCCGGAAGAACACCGGUGGCGAAGGCGGCGACCUGGUCCUUGACUGACGCUGAGGCGCGAAAGCGUGGGGAGCAAACAGG
rnacentral:rRNA from 1 species